ensembl:lncRNA
CUGCAGUUCUUAUCAUGUCUUAAUUAUUCCAUCUUCAGUCUUUCAGUGUGCUUUCUUUCCUUUUAGAGGCAUAUACGUGAAUUUCCAGAACAAGGUACUCUUUCUGUGGUGACUAUAAGUGCAUACGUAUACAGUACUGAAUGCAUGCUUAAAUCAAAAUGCUCUCUCCAAGUAUAAUUAAAAUACAACUAAGGUGGCUGUCACAUACUACUGGUUUGAAUGCACACAAAGUAUCGCUAGAUGGGUAUUGAAAUAUGAAAUAAUUCUUAUUUCUCUUCUGACCUCCUGAGCCUCAGAUUUCUUCAAAAUACUUUUGUGCCUAAGAAAGCAUGUGAGGACAGGGCCUCCCUCCAGUGUUUCUCUAGCAAGAUUCACUACAGGAUGAGAAGCUCCAGUGACUCUAUUUUUUGCCAGAGAUUUUAUUUAUUACAAUUUCAUUCUAAAAUGGUGCAUAGAAAUUUGGUCAGGGGUUCUCAUGGCCUCAGGUAUAUGUGUACAGUCACAUCCUGUAGAUUAGUGUUACAGCUUACACCCUCUGACCCUCUGACACUGUUGGCUGCUAUUUAAAUGGAAACACUGAAGACACAUUGAUUUGAAAACUGUGAAAUGAAACAAAGUGGAUUUCUAAGAUGGCAUCAAGCCAAAAAGAAACUCAAGAAGCAAAAUCAGACUUGUUCUGGUAAAAGCAACAUCCAUUUCUAUGCAAAGACUGUAUGGUUCAUAAGGAUUUUGGCUUAAUAAGUUGUAAUGUACUCUUCUAUAAUCGCUCUAUUACAAAGAUCUUAUGUUACACUUCCAUCUGUAUAAAAUCACCGCUGCCUCAAGGUGAGUUUAAUCUUUUAUAAUUGAUUCUAGUAGUUACCACUCAUAAAUGGUGAGGAAUGAGGUAUGAAACCUACUGAUGACAGCUGCAGCUUUGUGAUGUGUCAUUGCUUUCAUCUGGGUAUCUCCUACAAGUCAUAAUGACUCUGCAAUGGCUUUUUAGGUCACCAGUUCAUGAGGUAUUGCUUGGCUGUCGCAUCUACACCAUAGAUGGGAUGAUGCCCAGAAACACUGUUUUGGCAUCAUUGGUAAUGUUCAGUUUCAGGACAUUUACGAGUACUUGAGAAAUACCCCUCGGCUAAUUCUUACACCUUUGACUGACAAGUAAUGAAUAUUGCUAAUAGCAGUGUCAGCUUUUUCUCUUUAGGUGAAUAAAAAAUUAAAUGCUCAGUGUUCUUUCAUACCUCAUAUGAAUUUUAUAAGGUUUUCUUAGAGCUGUUAUUGAGACAAAGUAUCUUUGAACAUGUGUAUGCUUGUAAGUGUGCGCACUUAAGUAGUACGUGAACUUAAUCUCUCUUAAUUUUAAAAAUAAGUUAAAUAUUUCUUGUGUAAUAUAAUGCAAAAAUUAUGUGGUUAAUCUGAAGAAGAGCGUGAAUGGAUCUAUACCAGGGUUACUUGGGAUUUUUCAGCAAAAUCUUCCCUUUUUUUUUUUCUUUUCCAAUAUGUUGAAAAUUCAAAAACCAGUACUUUUUCACACCACGUGCAACAAAGAUUUUUUUUCUGGAAUCUUUUUUGCUAGAAUCAGUGAUUCAAGAAGGUGCAUCCAUCAGUCCCAGCUGGCUUAGUAGUUACAACCCACAGACGGGAUAGACAAAUCCAAGAACCAACCCUAUAAAUAAGGCAAAGUAACAGCAAAUAUCCUCAAGUUUCCUGUCUUGUGUGACCACAGGUGUUUAUGCAAGCUUUAAGAGAUUUCACUUUGCCUAAAAUGUUGACAGAUGAUAACCCAAUUUUCAUGGGCCUAACCAGUGACCUGUUUCAAGUUCUGGAUGUCCUGAGAAAGAAGAACCUGCAAUUUGAACAGAUGGCUGAACAAUCUACCCUAGAGUUUCACUUGUAGCCUGAAGAGAUCUUAAUUCUCAAGGUAAAAUAAUUCAUUGCCUUUAAUUACUCCCCUUAAGAGUUUCAAUCAAAAUAAUUGCAAAUGGGCUGUGUUAGAUAUGAAGGUUAUUGUUGAGUGUGUUACAGUACUGAUAAGGUGUCCUCAAAGUCUCAGCAUUUCAAAGACACGGCAGUACAGCACCUCAGUACAAUAAAUAUAUUCGCAAGGAAGUACACUCUGUUCAAAAAGGCUGUCUCCACUGACAAACAUAUUCAUUUGUGUGGAGCACCUGGUUCUUGUACUCGGUAGCAUUGUAGUAGUUGCUGAAUAUUUACAGGGAAGAAUGGAGAUAAAGGAAAUUUAAAAAAAUGUACCAGAAGUUGUUGAUGUAGAAUGUGGGGUUACCUAUGUUGAACAGGUUUUUUGAAAACAUUUUUCAACAUUUUUCAACAUUUUGAAAAAAAUUUUUCAUGUUUGUUCAGGUAUUUCUGUAUAAUACAAUGCAUGUUGAGUGUGCGAUAUGAGUGCAUGAGCAUACAUGCAUGCGCAUACUCAUAAAAAUUAGUUGUCCACAAACUAAACUUAAA